rnacentral:piRNA from 1 species
UNCACGCUGCCAUUUGUGAUUGGUAUCUGC